AUGAACGCUAGCGACAGGCUUAACACAUGCAAGUCGAGGGGCAGCACAGGUAGCAAUACCGGGUGGCGACCGGCGCACGGGUGAGUAACGCGUAUGCAACUUACCUAUCAGAGGGGGAUAACCCGGCGAAAGUCGGACUAAUACCGCAUGAAGCAGGGGCCCCGCAUGGGGAUAUUUGCUAAAGAUUCAUCGCUGAUAGAUAGGCAUGCGUUCCAUUAGGCAGUUGGCGGGGUAACGGCCCACCAAACCGACGAUGGAUAGGGGUUCUGAGAGGAAGGUCCCCCACAUUGGUACUGAGACACGGACCAAACUCCUACGGGAGGCAGCAGUGAGGAAUAUUGGUCAAUGGGCGUAAGCCUGAACCAGCCAAGUCGCGUGAGGGAUGAAGGUUCUAUGGAUCGUAAACCUCUUUUAUAAGGGAAUAAAGUGCGGGACGUGUCCCGUUUUGUAUGUACCUUAUGAAUAAGGAUCGGCUAACUCCGUGCCAGCAGCCGCGGUAAUACGGAGGAUCCGAGCGUUAUCCGGAUUUAUUGGGUUUAAAGGGUGCGUAGGCGGCCUUUUAAGUCAGCGGUGAAAGUCUGUGGCUCAACCAUAGAAUUGCCGUUGAAACUGGGAGGCUUGAGUAUGUUUGAGGCAGGCGGAAUGCGUGGUGUAGCGGUGAAAUGCAUAGAUAUCACGCAGAACCCCGAUUGCGAAGGCAGCCUGCCAAGCCAUGACUGACGCUGAUGCACGAAAGCGUGGGGAUCAAACAGGAUUAGAUACCCUGGUAGUCCACGCAGUAAACGAUGAUCACUAGCUGUUUGCGAUACAGUGUAAGCGGCACAGCGAAAGCGUUAAGUGAUCCACCUGGGGAGUACGCCGGCAACGGUGAAACUCAAAGGAAUUGACGGGGGCCCGCACAAGCGGGGGAACAUGUGGUUUAAUUCGAUGAUACGCGAGGAACCUUACCCGGGUUUGAACGCAUUCGGACCGAGGUGGAAACACCUUUUCUAGCAAUAGCCGUUUGCGAGGUGCUGCAUGGUUGUCGUCAGCUCGUGCCGUGAGGUGUCGGCUUAAGUGCCAUAACGAGCGCAACCCUUGCCACUAGUUACUAACAGGUAAAGCUGAGGACUCUGGUGGGACUGCCAGCGUAAGCUGCGAGGAAGGCGGGGAUGACGUCAAAUCAGCACGGCCCUUACAUCCGGGGCGACACACGUGUUACAAUGGCGUGGACAAAGGGAAGCCACCUGGCGACAGGGAGCGAAUCCCCAAACCACGUCUCAGUUCGGAUCGGAGUCUGCAACCCGACUCCGUGAAGCUGGAUUCGCUAGUAAUCGCGCAUCAGCCAUGGCGCGGUGAAUACGUUCCCGGGCCUUGUACACACCGCCCGUCAAGCCAUGGGAGCCGGGGGUACCUGAAGUCCGUAACCGAAAGGAUCGGCCUAGGGUAAAACUGGUGACUGGGGCU
rnacentral:rRNA from 1 species